rnacentral:rRNA from 1 species
UAGGGAAUCUUCCACAAUGGACGAAAGUCUGAUGGAGCAACGCCGCGUGAGUGAAGAAGGUUUUCGGAUCGUAAAGCUCUGUUGUUGGUGAAGAAGGAUAGAGGCAGUAACUGGUCUUUAUUUGACGGUAAUCAACCGGAAAGUCACGGCUAACUACGUGCUAG